rnacentral:rRNA from 1 species
AUGAACGCUGGCGGCGUGCCUAAUACAUGCAAGUCGAGCGAACAGACGAGGAGCUUGCUCCUUUGACGUUAGCGGCGGACGGGUGAGUAACACGUAGGUAACCUACCUAUAAGACUGGGAUAACUUCGGGAAACCGGAGCUAAUACCGGAUAAUAUUUCGAACCGCAUGGUUCGAUAGUGAAAGAUGGCUUUGCUAUCACUUAUAGAUGGACCUGCGCCGUAUUAGCUAGUUGGUAAGGUAACGGCUUACCAAGGCAACGAUACGUAGCCGACCUGAGAGGGUGAUCGGCCACACUGGAACUGAGACACGGUCCAGACUCCUACGGGAGGCAGCAGUAGGGAAUCUUCCGCAAUGGGCGAAAGCCUGACGGAGCAACGCCACGUGAGUGAUGAAGGUCUUCGGAUCGUAAAACUCUGUUAUUAGGGAAGAACAAACGUGUAAGUAACUGUGCACGUCUUGACGGUACCUAAUCAGAAAGCCACGGCUAACUACGUG